rnacentral:rRNA from 1 species
ACACGACUACAUUAGAUACCCGGGUAGUCCUGGCCGUAAACGAUGUGGACUUGGUGUUGGAAUGGCUCCGAGCUGCUCCAGUGCCGAAGGGAAGCUGUUAAGUCCACCGCCUGGGAGUACGUCCGCAAGGAUGAAACUUAAAGGAAUUGGCGGGGAGCACCGCAACGGGAGGAGCGUGCGGUUUAAUUGGAUUCAACGCCGGACAUCUCACCGGAUAAGACAGCUGAAUGAUUGUCAAUCUGAAGGUUUUACAUGACUAGCUG